UCAAGUGAUCCUGGGGACCCUGCCUGCCAUUGCCAGCAGCCUCAUAUUGUCCACCCCCAUCCACAGGACAAGGAGUACGUGGGUUUUGCUGCCCUCCCCAACCAGCUGCACCGCAAGUCUGUCAAGAAGGGGUUUGACUUCACACUAAUGGUGGCAGGGGAGUCAGGCCUAGGGAAAUCCACCCUCAUCAACAGCCUCUUCCUCACCAACCUCUAUGAGGAUCGCCAGGUGCCAGAGGCCAGUGCUCGCUUGACACAGACCCUGGCCAUUGAGCGCCGGGGUGUAGAGAUCGAGGAAGGGGGUGUGAAGGUGAAGCUGACCCUUGUGGACACGCCUGGCUUUGGGGACUCAGUGGACUGCUCUGACUGCUGGUUUCCGGUGGUGAAAUUCAUCGAGGAGCAAUUUGAGCAGUACCUUAGGGAUGAGAGUGGCCUGAACCGGAAGAACAUCCAGGACUCCCGAGUCCACUGCUGCCUCUACUUCAUCUCACCCUUCGGCCGGGGGCUCCGGCCCCUAGAUGUGGCCUUCCUCCGGGCAGUACACGAGAAAGUCAACAUCAUCCCAGUCAUUGGCAAAGCGGAUGCCCUGAUGCCCCAGGAAACCCAGGCCCUCAAGCAGAAGAUCCGGGAUCAGUUGAAGGAAGAGGAGAUCCACAUCUACCAGUUCCCCGAAUGUGACUCUGAUGAAGAUGAAGACUUCAAGAGGCAGGAUGCAGAGAUGAAGGAAAGCAUCCCUUUUGCAGUCGUGGGAUCAUGCGAGGUGGUGAAGGAUGGUGGGAACCGACCGGUGAGGGGACGCCGCUACUCCUGGGGGACCGUGGAGGUGGAGAACCCACAUCACUGCGAUUUCUUGAACCUGCGACGGAUGCUGGUGCAGACACACCUGCAGGACCUGAAAGAGGUGACGCACGAUCUGCUCUACGAGGGCUACCGGGCCCGCUGCCUACAGAGCCUGGCCCGGCCUGGGGCUCGCGAUCGAGCCAGCCGCAGUAAACUUUCCCGCCAGAGCGCCACGGAGAUCCCGCUGCCCAUGCUGCCUCUGGCGGACACCGAGAAGCUGAUCCGCGAGAAAGACGAAGAG
rnacentral:sRNA from 1 species